UAUAUUAUAGUUUAUAAAAACAUUAAAUUGCAAAUUUAAAAAUAUUUAAAGUAAAUUAAUAUAU
rnacentral:tRNA from 1 species